GGCUGAAAAUGCCGGAUCUGCCGAAACCAGCCGGAAACCGGCCGAACCGCUGCCGUCGGCGCCGACCAAAACGGUAACCGAAGGUCCGGUUCGGUUCUGCCGAACCGUAUAUACGUACACGGUACGGUAACGCCGUUGGAUCUUAGUGGAGAUUGAGAUAACCUAAGGGGGUCAGCGAGGUUAGGUCAUUUGUGCCCGCAGCCUCUCUCUCCUCUCCCUCGAGUCGACCCUCUAUUCCUUUCUCUUCCUCUCAGAACCUAGCUCUAAUUUCUUGAAUCCAGCCCCAAUUGUACAAAAACUUUGGCCAUUCCUAUCCCAAAAACACGAUCUACGCAAGAUGCAAACCUCACCAACAUGAAUUUUAACCCCAAUAUCAUUUGAUUUUCGAAAUCCCCAAAUCCUUCGACCCAACCCUAGCUGCUUGUUUGAACUUUGAAGUGGUUGCUCAGAUGCUUGUACGGUGUUGAAGUGGUGGUUCAGAGCAGAAAAAUAUAGGUCAAGGAUGGAGCUGAUGGACAUCGUUGGAAAGUCAAAAGAAGAUGCCUCGCUUCCGAAAGCAACUGCUGCGCUGCAUUUGGGAGGUGCAAACUCUUCUACAACAACUGCUACUUGAAGAUUUGGAUGCUGCAAACUAUUGGUGCUGAAGAUAUAGCGGCUUGUUUUUUGUCAAGUGAUUGAAGUCAUCAAAUCAGUGAAUCAGAAGCAGAUUUUUGUUUGUUUGUAGUUCCUAUUAUGAAGUUAUGUAAUAUUUAAGUACACGUUUAGACUUUGAAAUCAGUCACGCACAUGAUUUCUGAACUUGUGUUCUUGUAAUGUGGAACUGGAAAAAAGCUAAACUAGAGAAACAUCAAGUCUAGAACUCUAUAAGAAGGUGAGAAAUAGGCUUGAUGAAGAUAUAUUAUCGGUGCUGAGUUGAGUAAUUGGUAUCCAUUGAAUAAAUAACUAAUCA